CCUCCACAGACUUGAGGAAGUCCCUCUCGCUCUGGAGGGCCAGCGUCUCCUCCAUCUGACUGGAGCAGCAGGUGUAGUCCUGAGGACAGAGCCGCAGGUGCUCGCCUGGAACGACAACAAGUUUGGAUCAAUCGGCGUUCAUCAAAAGCCGAGACCUUCUCUCAAUAACGUUGGGUCUUUGAUAUGUCAGAGGUAAUGAUAUGCAAACGACAACCAGGGGAGAGAAAGAGAGAGAGCGAGGGAGAGAAAACGUCCCUCUGAACGUGGAAUAAAAAGGUUUGUAUUCUUUGUUUUUAUAAUUCUACACCUAGCGUGAAUAUUAUACUGCCGUGGAAAGUGUCGUUCCCAACUCCACCCUCGCUGAUGUUCCUGUCUGCCUCUUUUGUUCUCUCUGUGCGUCUCACUAUUAGCCCUCUCUCAUCCCUCUAUUUCCAUUUCUAAACUGCCUCUCUUCAUCCUUCGUCUC